GAUCAGAAAUAAAUGGAAAAGUGGAAGAUCUUGUAAGAUAUUCCUGUAAGUGGUGACUGAGCCUCUACUCCACGGGAAGCACAGUGACUCCUGAGUGCCGUCUGAGUGUGGAGGAGCUCAUGCUCUACAGGAAAAGGAAAACUCAGGGCAGAACCAACACGGUGCAGGGCAGGGCACUCCCAGGGUCUGGAGAGAGGCCCAGCACAACCCUGAAUUGAGAGGAGGAUGAGAAAUCUCAUUCCUGACCAGAGAAUCAGGACAGGCCCGCAGCAGGCACUCACGGCCUUAUGACAACUGACCUCUGGAAUUACGAGAACUCAACUGAAUUUC
rnacentral:lncRNA from 1 species